rnacentral:misc_RNA from 1 species
UAAUCUCACACCCUCAGACUUUUGUCAAAAGGGAAGUGGACUUGGAUGCUGUCGUGUCACUACGACUCGUCUCAAAUGCAUGAGUGUACCCUGCGUCCGCAGCGUAUUCGGUGUGAUAAGCAUCUUCACCGGAGUGGUGCCCUCGGGCUCGCGCUUGCAAAUGUUGGGCUCUGCGCUUCAAACCGUCUUCGGACAAUGACUGACA